ensembl:misc_RNA Metazoa_SRP Metazoan signal recognition particle RNA
GCCAGGCAUGGUAGUGUGUGCCUGUAGUCCUAGCUACUUAGGAGGCUGAGGCAGGAGGAUCACUUGAACCCAGGAGUCUGAAAUUGCAGUGAGCUAUGAUCAUGCCACUGCAUUCCAGCCUGGGUGACCAGAGUGAGACCCUGUCUGAA